UACGGAGGGAGCUAGCGUUAUUCGGAAUUACUGGGCGUAAAGGGAGCGUAGGCGGGUUAUCAAGUUGGGGGGUGAAAGCCCGGGGCUCAACUCCGGAAUUGCCUUUAAGACUGCAUCGCUAGAAUUGUGGAGAGGUAAGUGGAAUUCCGAGUGUAGAGGUGAAAUUCGUAGAUAUUCGGAAGAACACCAGUGGCGAAGGCGACUUACUGGACACAUAGUUGACGCUGAGGUGCGAAAGCGUGGGGAGCAAACAGG
rnacentral:rRNA from 1 species